rnacentral:rRNA from 1 species
CGGAACGGGUGAGUAACGCGUGAGGAACCUGCCUCAAAGAGGGGGACAACAGUUGGAAACGACUGCUAAUACCGCAUAAGCCCACGACCUGGCAUCGGGUUGAGGGAAAAGGAGCAAUCCGCUUUGAGAUGGCCUCGCGUCCGAUUAGCUAGUUGGUGAGGUAACGGCCCACCAAGGCAACGAUCGGUAGCCGGACUGAGAGGUUGAACGGCCACAUUGGGACUGAGACACGGCCCAG